rnacentral:rRNA from 1 species
GACGAACGCUGGCGGCGUGCCUAAUACAUGCAAGUAGAACGCUGAAGAGAGGAGCUUGCUCUUCUUGGAUGAGUUGCGAACGGGUGAGUAACGCGUAGGUAACCUGCCUUGUAGCGGGGGAUAACUAUUGGAAACGAUAGCUAAUACCGCAUAACAAUGGAUGACUCAUGUCAUUUAUUUGAAAGGGGCAAAUGCUCCACUACAAGAUGGACCUGCGUUGUAUUAGCUAGUAGGUGAGGUAACGGCUCACCUAGGCGACGAUACAUAGCCGACCUGAGAGGGUGAUCGGCCACACUGGGACUGAGACACGGCCCAGACUCCUACGGGAGGCAGCAGUAGGGAAUCUUCGGCAAUGGGGGCAACCCUGACCGAGCAACGCCGCGUGAGUGAAGAAGGUUUUCGGAUCGUAAAGCUCUGUUGUAAGUCAAGAACGAGUGUGAGAGUGGAAAGUUCACACUGUGACGGUAGCUUACCAGAAAAGGACGGCUAACUACGUGCUAGCAGCCGCGG